rnacentral:rRNA from 1 species
GAUGAACGCUAGCUACAGGCUUAACACAUGCAAGUCGAGGGGUAACGAGAGGAAAGCUUGCUUUCCUUGUCGACGACCGGCGCACGGGUGAGUAACGCGUAUCCAACCUGCCCCCAACUAAGGAAUAACCUUGCGAAAGUAAGACUAAUACCUUAUAAUUUCCUCAGAUGUCAUCUGACGAGGAAUAAAGAUUUAUCGGUUGUGGAUGGGGAUGCGUCUGAUUAGCUUGUUGGCGGGGUAACGGCCCACCAAGGCAACGAUCAGUAGGGGUUCUGAGAGGAAGGUCCCCAACAUUGGAACUGGGAGAAGGUCCAAACUCCUACGGGAAGCAGCAGUGAGGAAUAUUGGUCAAUGGGCGGAAGCCUGAACCAGCCAAGUAGCGUGCAGGAUGACGGCCCUAUGGGUUGUAAACUGCUUUUAUACAGGAAUAAAGUUAGCCACGUGUGGUUAUUUGUAGGUACUGUAUGAAUAAGGACCGGCUAAUUCCGUGCCAGCAGCCGCAGUAA